AUUGGUGGAGCCUUGUGCCAGUCGACGAACACAUUAGGUCGUGACAAACAUCCUCUGAAACAACUAGCUAGCAGCGAUGGAGUGCUGAGGUAGUUAGUUAGUCAGCGAGUCACAAACAAGUCAGCUGAGUGUUCAAGAAGCCAGUAUCUACUAGCUAGUUAUUUAGCUAGAAACUCACCGUUUGCCAGUCAAGCCAAGAAAUUGCAGUUUAGAAGCAUUGCUGCUAUUGCUGUUAGCUAGUUAGUUCUUACGGCACAACCCCCUGAACUUGUCAACUGGGCUGGCCAGCUAGUAGGGAUUUAGCUAGCUCACUAAAGUAAGGGGUAGUGUGUUUUUUUUAUCCCCACACUGGGCCACAGUCUACAACUUGCCUUUGCCUGCCUAACAACAUUGCAGUCAUGUCCGCGGCAGGAGACUUCGGAAACCCUCUAAGGAAAUUUAAAUUGGUCUUUCUUGGCGAACAGAGCGUGGGGAAGACUUCAUUGAUUACCAGGUUCAUGUACGACAGCUUCGACAACACCUACCAGGCCACAAUAGGAAUAGAUUUCCUGUCAAAAACCAUGUACCUCGAAGACCGAACAGUGAGGCUGCAGCUUUGGGACACAGCCGGCCAGGAGCGCUUCCGGAGUCUGAUCCCUAGCUACAUACGAGACUCCACCGUGGCCGUGGUAGUCUAUGACAUCACAAAUGUCAACUCUUUCCAGCAAACCACAAAAUGGAUUGAUGAUGUCAGAACGGAGAGAGGAAGUGAUGUCAUCAUCAUGCUGGUGGGAAACAAGACGGACCUUGCAGACAAAAGGCAAGUUGCUAUUGAAGAGGGUGAGAGGAAGGCCAAAGAGCUAAAUGUAAUGUUUAUUGAGACUAGUGCUAAAGCAGGUUACAACGUCAAGCAGACAGAUAACCACAGAGGAAGGGGAACAGAGAGCCAAAGAGCUGAAUGUUCUUUUUAUUGAAACAAGUGCAAAGACAGGCUACAAUGUCAAACAGCUGUUCCGACGUGUGGCUGCUGCCCUCCCUGGCAUGGAGAGCACGCAGGACAAGAGCAGAGAAGACAUGAUUGACAUAAAGCUGGAGAAGACCCCAGAACAGCCCGUCAGCGAAGGAGGCUGCUCCUGCUAACUCCAGCCUCCGUUUAUCACCCUCUCCAUCACUGUUUCUCGCUUUGUUCUUGAUCUUUCUCACCCUGGCUUAUCGGCCUCUAUACUGUACCUAUCCUCUCUGCUCUCCCUCUGAACCCCUUGAUUCCUGACUCCUUCACCACAGCCUGAAAGAGAAGAACACUACCUGUCCGUCAUCCUUGUCGUCGUGGAAUCCCGUCGUGGAAUCGCUGAGAUUACCUUAAGCUUAACAAGCAAAAUGUGGAUGUGAAUGCUAUUUUAUUUCCGUUGAACUUUAACUCUACUUUGGCAAUGAAAAAGGAAAUUAUUUAUUGUUACAUUUUUCAAGCACUGCGUCUUGUUGUUCUGUAAUACGCCAUGCAAGUGACUCGUUCUUGCGUCCUACUUCCGUGUUCAUGCCCCUGGUCUUUUACAUGGGCCUACAGAUAUCAAAUUAAUUGAAACGCAGUUAUAUAUUACGCUUUCUGGAUGGAACUACUUCUGCAGAUGCAUUUUAUGACAUUUUUGACAAUUGAAGACUAUUUAAAAAAAAUCCUAGAACAGUUCAAAAAUGACAAGCCUACUUGCUGCGUCGCUUGCAUGGGUAUACUCUGGAAAUGGUUGGUUGCACAGUAGUCAAAAAAUGAUUGCAGUAUGUGAGAAACAGACUUCAGAGUAAUGGAUAACCGAGUGGAAUUGUUCUGCCAUAAGUGGGCUUAGCAGCCCCCAAGAAUAUCACCCACUCGGUAAACGUUGAGCACACCAACCUUACCUUUUUACACCGGUCCCACCACAUAGCAGCUACAGUGUCACUCCACCGAAGCAUGGUAUGACAACACAAUGUAGGGAAACCACAAGAACUCACACACACACACACAGCAUGAUGACACAAUUCCCACCACAACGUGACGCAAAGUAACAAUAGAACACAAGGGCAGUUUCACUACCACAACACGACCGUCCUUCAUUAUUCACCUUGUCCUCACAACUUAAUAAAAGGUAUCUUCACCUUGGCUGCCAUUUUCUAUUAUAUCUCUUGGUUAGAUCUUUACUUUUUUCUAAAAGUACAAUUAUUACCAUAGAUGAAACGAUAUUGCUUUGGAGAACGGUACAGUUUGCAAAAUGAUUUUUGUAUAUUGAGAAGUAUCAUAUUCAACGCAAACCCAACUUCGUUAGAUAUGCAGACAUGCCUUUGUAGGUGCUCAUUGUAAGAGGGCUUCCAUGGUUUUGGGAUUUCCUAGCUUUGUUUGGUUUAAUGUUAUAUCGACACUUUAGUUAUUUUUUUUGAUCUUUUGUUAAUGAGAAUGAUCUUACAUGUUCAUUAAAUCCACAAUGACUUGUAAUAUUUAUUUCGACUGGAUCAUGUUUCUUUUUUUAUUACCGUUGGGAUGAUCCCUAAAUGACUAGAGUAUUUUGUCAACCACCUGAUUUUUUUCCCCCCAAACGUGUCCUCCAGCUCUUCCGGUGAUGUCACUACCCCUCUACUCCACCCCAAAAUGCUGACUUGAUCAAACUGAAGAAGAAAAAAACACAAACCUGGAGGAAAGUCCAGUAGCGUCUUGGUCCGUAACCUUUUAUCUUUGGAAUGGUUUUAACUGGAGGUUGGAGGCUGCCUGUGCUGCCACAAGCUCAUCAUUUGCACUGCUAGAAGUCAUCAGUGUCUUAUCGUCAUCCCCAAGAAAGGUCUGCGUUUAACUGAAAUGUCCUUUUUUCAUGUUUGAAUAAAUAGAUAAAUGCUAGACAAGGAGA